ensembl:ncRNA F14B8.8 ncRNA
UUGCGCACACGGGGAAAAAUUUAUCAAAGUAAAUUGAAUUGUUUCUCUGCGGUGACGGCGCCGCUGACUGGCACCGUCACUUUUUGGAUGGCUGCUCACUUUUAGGUAAUGAGAAAAAAGGACAAAGUGCAACCUAGG